UGCAUAGUGUAGUGGUUUCAGAGUUGGAUUGGGACUCUGGAAACUAGGGUUCGAAUCCCUGCUGGGCCA